rnacentral:rRNA from 1 species
UAGGGAAUCUUCGGCAAUGGGGGGAACCCUGACCGAGCAACGCCGCGUGAGUGAAGAAGGUUUUCGGAUCGUAAAGCUCUGUUGUUAAGGAAGAACGAGUGUGAGAAUGGAAAGUUCAUGCUGUGACGGUACUUAACCAGAAAGGGACGGCUAACUACGUGCCAGCAGCCGCGGUAAUACGUAGGUCCCGAGCGUUGUCCGGAUUUUUUGGGCGUAAAGCGAGCGCAGGCGGUUAGAAAAGUCUGAAGUGAAAGGCAGUGGCUCAACCAUUGUAGGCUUUGGAAACUGUUUAACUUGAGUGCAGAAGUGGAGAGUGGAAUUCCAUGUGUAGCGGUGAAAUGCGUAGAUAUAUGGAGGAACACCGGUGGCGAAAGCGGCUCUCUGGUCUGUAACUGACGCUGAGGCUCGAGAGCGUGGGGAGCGAACAGG